GGAAGAGCUGCAGCACCUGAGCCCUGUCUGUCUGCCAGGAGAUGCUUUCAAAAUAUGAUCGCGACUCCGACUUACUGAAAAAGGCCAGCAUGAAGAUUCCAUCGUUUCCGACUCGCAGCUGAUCAGCGUCACUGAAAUCAUCUCUGGGAGGGAAUUCAUCGUCCUGACACAGACAAACCACAGCAGAUAAACGUGAGGCCGAGCUGGUGAUCCACACUCACCACUUGGUAUCGGCUCGCUGGGUCCAUCCCCGGUUCGGUUCAGCUGGGAGAUCCGGCCGAGGGAGGCAGAGGGGAGUCCGGCUGCUGAGUGUGUCCGAGCCUCGAGCGUCGCGACCCGGGGACGCUCCUGUCCAACUGUCGCUGGACAACAGAAGAGAGAAAUGGCUGCGACCCGCAGAAGUGCUGCUCAGGAAAAUAACUGGGAGUCCCGGGGAAGCAAGCUGCAGUGGGAGUCUGGCUAACUUGACGGCGGGGAUGAACACGGAUUUCCAAGAAUUGAAGAAUUGUGAUGACGCAAAUAAACACGCACAAUGAAGUGAAAUGAAGCCUAAACAUCCCAGGUCCGAACGCUGGCAUUUUGUGCCGAGGUCGUCAUUUGGAGCCAGAGACCAUAAUUUCAGCUGCUGCACCCACAGAAAGGCAGUGAAGUUGUCUGGAGGCGGUGCACCACAGUUGCAGAGAGAGCGUCUUCUGGUGGCUGCAUGGACUAACUGCAUGUGAUGUCAAACUCUCAGCAGAGGAGAGCGUCGGCGUCACUGGAGGUGAAGGACGACGACGCCAUUGUCCUCAAUGCUGCAGAGAAAAUAUCCUGAAGAUGACAGCAACAAUAAUUGCGAGACACAGAGCUGGACGCUGGUCUUCAGUACGACUUUGAGGUAACCCUGCCACCACCACUGUUUGAGCAUGAUGUUGAUGAAAAGGAUGCAGAAGGUGGGGAAGAGAGAGGAUUGAACCGAUGACAACCCUGGCUGCCUUGUUACCCGCAGGUGGAGCAAUUGGCAGGGGGCGGGGACAGGCAGCGCGGGUGUCUGAAGUGUCAGCUGAAGACUCGGAGAAUGAAGACAAGGUGUUCCAGGCUUUCAAUUGCAAUAGCGUUACAAGCCGAACCUGAGGGUACACUGAGGCCAAAGAAACGAAGCCUAAACAUCCCAGGUCCGAACGCUGGCAUCAUUUGGAGGCCAAGACAGUAAAUUCAGCUGCUGCACCUGCAGAAAGGCAGUGAAGUUGUCUGAAGGCGGUGCACCACAGUUGCAGAGAGAGAGCAUCCUCUGGUGGUUGCAUGGACUAACUGCAUGUGAUGUAAAGCUCUCAGCAGGUCAGAGGCAGCGUCGCUGCUGAAAUUGGCAUCAAUCCACAACUGGGAAAAGAGUCAAAGGUAGCAGCACGAAUCUCUGCCUGCCUGACUGACAUCUCUCAGUGGAUGUGGUCCAGGCC